CUCACAACCAGAGACCAGCCUGUGUUGCCAGUCCUGCUGGUGACUCUUGAGUCUCAAAGACCUCUUGUGGGAUCAUGAGACACCAAGAACUUGCAAGCAGCAUGCAAGACACUAAGAUGCUAAUGGGGAUCUCCAAGGAGUAUUUCGUGCUUGGUGGAGUGAUCAGUGCUUCCUUGUUCAGAAUCAAGGAGGAUUAUACCCCCUCUCUCUCAGUGAACACAUUUUGCAACAAGAACUUGACCACCCAGGACCCUCUGGAACACUGCUGCCUCACGCUAGUUCAAGACACUUCUUUACUGAGCAAACAUCGUUGUGCCAUUAAAGGUCAAAAAAUUCUUGAUCUCCUGUACAUAGUUGCCUAUUGUACAUACUAGUACUUACGCUCUACUUUUAUACAGAUGAAUUUUGGUGGUGUGAAAUAGAUAAACAGUCCCCAUGAUGAUAACAUCUUAAAGAGCAGAGUCUUUCUCCUGCUUACAAAGAGCAGCAUCUUUUCUUCUGAAUGCAGGCAUUACUCUGUACCUGGGAGCACAAUGUGGUGUGGGCUUUGUCUCCAAAGCCUGAACAUUCAGGAUGCUGCUGCUUGGGAAGCCACUACUGGAGAAC
rnacentral:lncRNA from 1 species